GACGAACGCUGGCGGCGUGCCUAAUACAUGCAAGUAGAACGCUGAAGGAGGAGCUUGCUUCUCUGGAUGAGUUGCGAACGGGUGAGUAACGCGUAGGUAACCUGCCUGGUAGCGGGGGAUAGCUAUUGGAAACGAUAGCUAAUACCGCAUAAUAGUAGAUGUUGCAUGACAUUUACUUAAAAGGUGCAAUUGCAUCACUACCAGAUGGACCUGCGUUGUAUUAGCUAGUAGGUGGGGUAACGGCUCACCAAGGCGACGAUACAUAGCCGACCUGAGAGGGUGAUCGGCCACACUGGGACUGAGACACGGCCCAGACUCCUACGGGAGGCAGCAGUAGGGAAUCUUCGGCAAUGGACGAAAGUCUGACCGAGCAACGCCGCGUGAGUGAAGAAGGUUUUCGGAUCGUAAAGCUCUGUUGUAAGAGAAGAACGAGUGUGAGAGUGGAAAGUUCACACUGUGACGGUAUCUUACCAGAAAGGGACGGCUAACUACGUG
rnacentral:rRNA from 1 species